CCUACGGGUGGCAGCAGUGGGGAAUAUUGCACAAUGGGCGCAAGCCUGAUGCAGCCAUGCCGCGUGUGUGAAGAAGGCCUUCGGGUUGUAAAGCACUUUCAGCGGGGAGGAAGGCGGUGAGGUUAAUAACCUCAUCGAUUGACGUUACCCGCAGAAGAAGCACCGGCUAACUCCGUGCCAGCAGCCGCGGUAAUACGGAGGGUGCAAGCGUUAAUCGGAAUUACUGGGCGUAAAGCGCACGCAGGCGGUCUGUCAAGUCGGAUGUGAAAUCCCCGGGCUCAACCUGGGAACUGCAUUCAAAACUGGCAGGCUAGAGUCUUGUAGAGGGGGGUAGAAUUCCAGGUGUAGCGGUGAAGUGCGUAGAGAUCUGGAGGAAUACCGGUGGCGAAGGCGGCCCCCUGGACAAAGACUGACGCUCAGGUGCGAAAGCGUGGGGAGCAAACAGGAUUAGAUACCCCUGUAGUC
rnacentral:rRNA from 1 species